CCUACGGGAGGCUGCAGUGGGGAAUAUUGCACAAUGGGCGCAAGCCUGAUGCAGCCAUGCCGCGUGUGUGAAGAAGGCCUUCGGGUUGUAAAGCACUUUCAGCGGGGAGGAAGGCGGUGAGGUUAAUAACCUCAUUGAUUGACGUUACCCGCAGAAGAAGCACCGGCUAACUCCGUGCCAGCAGCCGCGGUAAUACGGAGGGUGCAAGCGUUAAUCGGAAUUACUGGGCGUAAAGCGCACGCAGGCGGUCUGUCAAGUCGGAUGUGAAAUCCCCGGGCUCAACCUGGGAACUGCAUUCGAAACUGGCAGGCUAGAGUCUUGUAGAGGGGGGUAGAAUUCCAGGUGUAGCGGUGAAAUGCGUAGAGAUCUGGAGGAAUACCGGUGGCGAAGGCGGCCCCCUGGACAAAGACUGACGCUCAGGUGCGAAAGCGUGGGGAGCAAACAGGAUUAGAUACCCUAGUAGUC
rnacentral:rRNA from 1 species